UACGUAGGGGGCAAGCGUUGUCCGGAAUCAUUGGGCGUAAAGAGCGUGUAGGCGGCUCGGUAAGUCCGCUGUGAAAGUCCAGGGCUCAACCCUGGAAUGCCGGUGGAAACUGUCGAGCUAGAGUCCGGAAGAGGCGAGUGGAAUUCCUGGUGUAGCGGUGAAAUGCGCAGAUAUCGGGAAGAACACCCGUGGCGAAGGCGGUUCUCUGGGACGGUACUGACGCUGAGACGCGAAAGCGUGGGGAGCGAACAGG
rnacentral:rRNA from 1 species